rnacentral:tRNA from 1 species
GGUGGGUUGGCUCAGUGGCUAGAGCGUAGGUCUUGUAACCGAAAGGUCGCGGGAUCGAAUCCCGCUAGAGGCUG